CACAGAGUCACUGUUCGAGCUAGCCCUUUAGACCCUACCUUCUUCAAUCUUCUUGGUGGACGCCAUUUCUUAUCGAGAUAAUGUUCAAGAACUUAGACAUUGCAGAUUACUUGCUUUCUCGACAUUUUUCGUCAUAAAAAUGGAAUUUCUGCUCGUAUUCUUUGAGGUUCUUAAAUGUAAAAUAUUUGUGUGGUGAAUUUUCAGGUAACACUUACAUUUUAUCCGUGGCAAUUCCAUUUGAUCACGUGGCCUGAAACUGCUGUACAUUUUCCCAAAAUGAUGUCUUGUCGUCUCUUGCUGCAUGUUGUACGUUUUGUCACAUGCAGCAAUACUUCAGAACAGUAAAAUCUGGUGAUGUCUGAGCUUCUUCAUCGCAGCACGUGCACGUCAUUGCUGCCAAGUCAUGAAGAUGCGUCUUAAAAAGAGGGUCUUAACUCUAUUGCAAGACCAAAAUAUGAUGAACACAGGAAAUCUGGAUAGUUUUCCGUGGUCAGUUUGAGCUGUUAUGGUGUUGCUGUUUGGUGUGCAGUGGUUUUGCAGUCAUUUUUCAGUUGAGAGAUGUGCUGAACUUGAGUUUGUGUAGGGAAUGCAAUUCUACAUGAUACUUCAAUGUAUUUACCCAUGUAGUGUUGAAAUGUUGGGCAAAAUACGAAAAUAGCAAUGUUGAUUGUUGACUGAAUGCCGUCGAGUGUAUUUUGUCGCUAUGUCGUCUCUUGCUACUUGUACCGGAGUUGAGUUCAAUCGUUCGCCGCCGUUCCAUAGACCAGAUCCAUUGGUGAAACUGAAGAGAGGUUGCGGAAAUUCAAGGCUUAUUGUUGAUAAAUUAUGUAUCUUUAAAUAAAUUACAAGUGCAUAAAUGUGCUCCCUCCCCGUUUCCUUAAGUAAACAGUAACCAAUUCCCACCCAGUGGUCAACCCGCAUCCGCAUGAUAGAGCAAAACAUUUGGAGUGUUUUUUGAGUCUGACCCACUUAUGAAUAAUUUCUCCCGUAAUGACUGUUCCACAACUUUUUAAUCUUUGUGUGUAAAUCCUUUUUUUCCUUCUCAUCUAGUUUAUUUUCAUUAGUACAUAACUCGUCCUCCCUGUUAUUUUAAGUAAACAACCGCCUUCCCCCUCUCAAUUUUCAAUCACUCGCAUGAUAUGAACAAAACAUUUAAAAUGUUUAAAGUUAAAACCUACUGUGAUUAAUUGCUCUCAUAAUAACUUUGCAGUUUUA